AGAGUUUGAUCCUGGCUCAGAUUGAACGCUGGCGGCAUGCUUUACACAUGCAAGUCGAACGGCAGCACGGGCUUCGGCCUGGUGGCGAGUGGCGAACGGGUGAGUAAUGCAUCGGAACGUGCCCAUGUCGUGGGGGAUAACGUAGCGAAAGCUACGCUAAUACCGCAUACGCCCUGAGGGGGAAAGCGGGGGAUUCUUCGGAACCUCGCGCGAUUGGAGCGGCCGAUGUCGGAUUAGCUAGUAGGUGAGGUAAAGGCUCACCUAGGCGACGAUCCGUAGCGGGUCUGAGAGGAUGAUCCGCCACACUGGGGCUGAGACACGGCCCAGACUCCUACGGGGGGCAGCAGUGGGGAAUUUUGGACAAUGGGGGCAACCCUGAUCCAGCCAUGCCGCGUGAGUGAAGAAGGCCUUCGGGUUGUAAAGCUCUUUCGGCCGGGAAGAAAUCGGCGACUCUAACAUAGUCGCUGGAUGACGGUACCGGACUAAGAAGCACCGGCUAACUACGUGCCAACAGCCGCGGUAAUACGUAGGGUGCGAGCGUUAAUCGGAAUUACUGGGCGUAAAGCGUGCGCAGGCGGUUUUGUAGGACAGAUGUGAAAUCCCCGGGCUUAACCUGGGAACUGCGUUUGUGACUGCAAGGCUAGAGUA
rnacentral:rRNA from 1 species